UACGUAGGGUGCAAGCGUUGUCCGGAAUUAUUGGGCGUAAAGAGCUCGUAGGCGGUUUGUCGCGUCUGCUGUGAAAACUCAGGGCUUAACUCUGAGCUUGCAGUGGGUACGGGCAGACUAGAGUGCGGUAGGGGAGACUGGAAUUCCUGGUGUAGCGGUGAAAUGCGCAGAUAUCAGGAGGAACACCGGUGGCGAAGGCGGGUCUCUGGGCAACAACUGACGCUGAGGAGCGAAAGCGUGGGGAGCGAACAGG
rnacentral:rRNA from 1 species